rnacentral:rRNA from 1 species
UACAGAGGUCCCAAGCGUUGUUCGGAUUCACUGGGCGUAAAGGGUGCGUAGGCGGUCGGAUAAGUCUGAUGUGAAAUCUUCGAGCUCAACUCGGAAACUGCAUCGGAAACUAUUCGGCUAGAGGAUUGGAAGGGAGACUGGAAUUCUCGGUAUAGCAGUGAAAUGCGUAGAUAUCGAAAAGAACACCAGUGGCGAAGGCGAAUCUCUGGACAAUUCCUGACACUGAGACACGAAAGCUAGGGUAGCAAACGGGG